rnacentral:rRNA from 1 species
UACGGAGGGUGCUAGCGUUGUUCGGAAUUACUGGGCGUAAAGGGCGCGUAGGCGGCCGUUUGCGUCGGAUGUGAAAGCCCGGGGCUCAACCUCGGAACGGCAUUCGAUACGGGACGGCUGGAGACCGGGAGAGGAGAGUGGAAUAGCCAGUGUAGAGGUGAAAUUCGUAGAUAUUGGCUGGAACACCGGUGGCGAAGGCGGCGCUCUGGACCGAGACUGACGCUGAGGCGCGAAAGCGUGGGGAGCAAACAGG